AUACAUACUCAUUGGAAGGAAUGUCUCCAAAAAUAUGUAAAUUAACAUGUCUUCGAACAUUGUCUAAUCUAAUUGUGGGAGAAGGCAGUUGUUCUGGGAUAAAGGAGCUAGGGCCUUUGUCAAAUCUUCAAGGUACUCUUUGUAUUUCAGGAUUGGAGAAUGUGACUGAACCAUGGGAUGCAAGGGAGGCGAAUUUGAUUGGUAAACCCAAUCUUAGUGGGUUGUCGUUGGAAUGGAGUGAAGACAUUGAUGAAUCACGAGAAUUAGAGGUACUCAAUAUGCUACAACCUCACAACAAUUUGAAAGAGCUCACUAUCGAGUGCUACGGGGGUAUAGAAUUUCCAACUUGGUUAAGAUGUCCUUUAUUUCCUGAUAUGGUGAUCUUGAUAAUUGAAAAUUGUGAAAAGUGCACAUCAUUGCCAGCAAUCGGACAACUGCCAUCACUCAAAGUCCUUUUGAUUGGAGGCAUGGCAAGUGUGAAGAAGGUUGGUCCUGAGUUUUGUGGGGAUGGCUCCUCCCAACCUUUUAGAUCCUUGGAGACUUUGCAUUUCAAAGAUAUGAAGGAAUGGGAGAACUGGAUUCCUUGCGAAGAAUUUCCAAAAUUACGUGAGCUCUUACUUGGAAGUUGUCCCAGGCUACUGGAGAAGUUACCAAACCACCUUCCUUUGCUAAACAAAGUUAUGAUAUAUGGUUGUGGACAGUUGGUUGUUUCAAUUUCAAGCUUUCCAGAGCUUUGUGAAUUAACAAUUGAGAGAUGGAAAGGGAUGAUGGUGUAUGGAGGAAAGGUUGACUUCAACUCACUCUAUUUCGAGUCUCUUUCUACAAUUUCAGAAUUCACCGGUCGAAUAGAAGGAUUUAAUAAUGAUGGGCUGAAAACUGUAGAAAACUUAACCAUCUCAGAUUGUGAGGAGCUGACAUGUUUGUGGUCAAAUGAUGUGGGAUCCCUACCACCUCUCCCAUGUCUUCGUGUUUUGAAGAUUGAUGGCUGUCCAAAACUAGUUUCUUUGGUAGCAAAUGAAGUAGAAGAGCAGCUACAGCCGGGGAUUCCAUCCACACUCAGAGAGAUAGAGAUAUAUAAUUGCAAAGCCCUGGAAUCUUUACCAAAGACAAUGAUGUACCACUACAGGUGUCUGGAGUAUAUUUAUCUUAAUGGAUGUGAUAUUUUGACUUGCUUUGCAAAAGGCCAACUACCUCCAACUCUAAAGCAACUUAAAAUAGACAAUUGCAAGAAUAUGCGGAUUUUGUUAGAGGAUAAUGAUACCAAUAGUUGUAGCAGCAGCACAUCUCUUCUUGAGAACUUGGACAUUUGGGGAUGUCCAUCCCUUGAAUCCUUAACAUCAAGCGGAGUGUUACCAGCAACACUUAGACAAUUGCUUGUUUACAAUUGUCCAAAGCUACAAUCAAUAGCAAAGGGGUUGCAUCAUUGCUUGUUUCUUGAAUGCAUUGUCAUCUUGAAUUGUGAAAACCUUAAAUCCUUACCCACAGGCAUACAAAAUCUCAGUUAUCUAGAUCGGAUUGACAUUAGUAAUUGCCCAACUCUUGAUUUCUUCACAGACGGAGAGUUGCUCCCUGCCAACCUAAGAGUGCUUAAGAUUUCCAACAAUGAGAAAAUGCAAGCUGUGCCCAACUGUAUACACAACUUAGUCUCUCUUCAAGAAUUGGAAAUAUUGAAAUGUCCAGUUGUAUCAUUUCCCAAAGAAGGUUUUCCCACCAACCUAACAUCACUCAAAAUCUCUCAUCUCAACAUCACCCAGGGCUUGUUUGAGUGGGGAUUGCACAAGCUUACUUCUCUUGAACUACUUCAAAUUUGUAGUGGAUGUUCGCACCUGGUGUCCUUUCCAAAUAUGAAGUUGCCUGCCACUCUAAGAAGGCUCAACAUCUCACACUUUCUGAAUCUAGAAUACCUGUCCUCUGAGGGCUUUCGAAACCUCGUCUCACUUGAAGAACUUGAAAUAGGACAGUGUGAAAAGCUCACAUCCUUUCCAGAGAAUGGCUUGCCUCCCUCACUCUUGAAACUUUGUAUUGUCAAGUGCGAGAAGUUCGUGUCAUUUCCAAAGAAUGGUCUGCCUCCCUCACUCUUGGAACUUUAUAUCUUUAAAUGUCCUCUGCUGGAAGAAUGCUGCAAGAAAGAUCAAGGAAGUGAGUGGUUAAAGAUAGCCCACAUCCCUUACAUUCAAUUUGAUAAUGAUUGCCUGUAGAAUCGAGACAUGGUUUCUUUCUUCCGAUUUGAUUUAAAACUUUCUUGGAUGCAACCCAUGUAUGAAGAAAUAAAUCAAAGGCCAAUUUAUUGCUAAGUCAAUUCUUCUUUGUUUUGGCUCGUCUUUGAUUCCCAUCUGGAGAGGCUCAGUCUAAGUCAAUUCUUCUCUGUAUUGGCUCAUCUUUGAUCUACACCUGGAGAGGCUCAGUGAUGAUAGGUGUUUGCAUAAUGCCCAAGUGACCGAGAAGACCUUUGAACAUUGAGUUUUUCAAUGCUAAUUGGCAUGCUGAUGAUUGCUACAUAUUUAGUGAAUCGUUGCAACCUCCCAGAAAAAGACAUUUGACUUGGCAACAAUGAAAUGGGAUGAUGUGGAUUUCACUGCGAGGCUGCGAUGGAACCAUAU